rnacentral:tRNA from 1 species
GCCUGGGUGGCUCAGUUGGUUGAGUGUCUGACUUCAGCUCAGAUCAUGAUCUCACAGCUCGUGAGUUCGAGCCCCGCAUCGGGCU